rnacentral:sRNA from 1 species
AAGGCAGAGGAUGCAACCCUAGCGAUGAUGAACGCACACAGUUUGCUCAAAGCAAUGCCAAAGCUGCGAAGUUAGCAAUAGCUGCUUC